rnacentral:rRNA from 1 species
GCCGUCUACCAUGCCACCCUGAACAAGCCCGAUCCCGUCUGAUCUCGGAAGCUAAGCAGGGUCGGGCCUGGUUAGCACUUGGAUGGGAGACUGCCUAGGAAGACAAGGUACUGUAGGCA